rnacentral:rRNA from 1 species
GCAGUCGAGCGGAACGAUGGGAGCUUGCUCCCAGGCGUCGAGCGGCGGACGGGUGAGUAACACGUGGGAAUCUGCCCAUUAGUGGGGGAUAACUCGGGGAAACUCGAGCUAAUACCGCAUAUCCCUACGGGGGAAAGCAGGGGAUCUUCGGACCUUGCGCUGAUGGAUGAGCCCGCGUCGGAUUAGCUUGUUGGUGGGGUAAUGGCCCACCAAGGCGACGAUCCGUAACUGGUCUGAGAGGAUGGCCAGUCACACCGGGACUGAGACACGGCCCGGACUCCUACGGGAGGCAGCAGUGGGGAAUCUUGGACAAUGGGCGCAAGCCUGAUCCAGCCAUGCCGCGUGUGUGAAGAAGGCCUUCGGGUUGUAAAGCACUUUCAGUAGGGAGGAAGGCUUUGGGCUAAUACCCUGGAGUACUUGACGUUACCUACAGAAGAAGCACCGGCUAAUUUCGUGCCAGCAGCCGCGGUAAUACGAAAGGUGCGAGCGUUAAUCGGAAUUACUGGGCGUAAAGCGCGCGUAGGCGGUGUGUUAAGUCGGAUGUGAAAGCCCAGGGCUCAACCUUGGAAUUGCAUCCGAUACUGGCACGCUAGAGUGCAG